AGAGUUUGAUCCUGGCUCAGAACGAACGCUGGCGGCGUGCCUAACACAUGCAAGUCGCACGAGAAAUCCUGGGCAACUGGGAAAGUAAAGUGGCGCACGGGUGAGUAACGCGUGGGUAACCUACCCUUGAAUUGGGGAUAACUCCGCGAAAGCGGGGCUAAUACCGAAUCAUAUGCCGAUUCCCACGGGAGUUGGUAUCAAAGAUGGCCUCUGCAUGCAAGCUAUCGUUUAAGGAUGGGCCCGCGUGCCAUUAGCUUGUUGGUAGGGUAACGGCCUACCAAGGCAACGAUGGUUAGCUGGUCUGAGAGGAUGGCCAGCCACACUGGAACUGAGACACGGUCCAGACUCCUACGGGAGGCAGCAGUGGGGAAUCUUGCGCAAUGGGGGAAACCCUGACGCAGCAACGCCGCGUGGGUGAUGAAGGCCUUCGGGUCGUAAAGCCCUGUCAGGUGGGAAGAAACAUAUCGGUGCUAAUAUCACCGAUAUUUGACGGUACCACCGGAGGAAGCACCGGCUAACUCCGUGCCAGCAGCCGCGGUAAUACGGAGGGUGCUAGCGUUGUUCGGAAUUAUUGGGCGUAAAGCGCGCGUAGGCUGUCGAGUAAGUCAGAUGUGAAAGCCUUCCGCUUAACGGAAGAAGUGCAUUUGAAACUGCUCGGCUGGAGUACGGGAGAGGAGAGUGGAAUUCCCGGUGUAGAGGUGAAAUUCGUAGAUAUCGGGAGGAACACCAGUGGCGAAGGCGGCUCUCUGGUCCGAUACUGACGCUGAGACGCGAAAGCGUGGGGAGCAAACAGGAUUAGA
rnacentral:rRNA from 1 species